rnacentral:rRNA from 1 species
AUGGCGGGCACAACCACCACCACCGGCGGCGGCGGGGGAGCGGCUCAGGGGGGCCGCCGGGCGCUGGGGCUGCUGGCGAGCGCGGCGAAGCGGAAGGACGGGUUCGUGCAGCUGCUGCUGAUGUCGGGCAUCCUCAUGAUGAGCCUGCGGUCCCUGAGCCAGAAGCACCGCGUCCGCGACCUCGCCAACGACGCCGCCGAGCUCAGCCUCGAGCAGGAGCACAUCUCCCACCGCAUGCGCGAGCUCCAGGACGAGCUCGACCGCGAGGCCGGCGCCGACCCCUCGGGCGCGUUCGCCUCCCACCUCCGCCGCAUCUUCGCCGCUCACCCUCCCACCCCCGCCGCCGCCCCCGCCACCGACGACCACUAG